AUUGAACGCUGGCGGCAGGCCUAAUACAUCCAUGUCGGUUGCGCGGCGGACGUGUGAGCAAUGUCCGGGGAUCUGCCCGAUGGAGGGGGAUAACUACCGGAAACGGUAGCUAAUACCGCAUACCCUCAGAUGAACCCAUAUGGGAUUAGCUUGUAGGUGAGGUAACGGCUCACCUAGGCGACGAUCCCUAGCUGGUCUGAGAGGAUGAGCAGCCACACUGGGACUGAGACACGGCCCAGACUCCUACGGUAGGCAGCAGUGGGGAAUAUUGCACAAUGGGCGGAAGCCUGAUGCAGCCAUGCCGCGUGUAUGAAGAAGGCCUUCGGGUUGUAAAGUACUUUCAGUCGGGAGGCGUUACCGACAGAAGAAGCACCGGCUAACUCCGUGCCAGCAGCCGCGGUAAUAC
rnacentral:rRNA from 1 species